GAUGAACGCUGGCGGCGUGCUUAACACAUGCAAGUCGAACGGGAAAUCUUUCAUUGAGACUUCGGUGGAUUUGAUUUAUUUCUAGUGGCGGACGGGUGAGUAACGCGUGGGUAACCUGCCUUAUACAGGGGGAUAACAGUCAGAAAUGGCUGCUAAUACCGCAUAAGCGCACAGAGCUGCAUGGCUCAGUGUGAAAAACUCCGGUGGUAUAAGAUGGACCCGCGUUGGAUUAGCUAGUUGGUGGGGUAACGGCCCACCAAGGCGACGAUCCAUAGCCGGCCUGAGAGGGUGAACGGCCACAUUGGGACUGAGACACGGCCCAGACUCCUACGGGAGGCAGCAGUGGGGAAUAUUGCACAAUGGGGGAAACCCUGAUGCAGCGACGCCGCGUGAAGGAAGAAGUAUCUCGGGAUGUAAACUUCUAUCAGCAGGGAAGAUAGUGACGGUACCUGACGAAGAAGCCCCGGCUAACUACGUG
rnacentral:rRNA from 1 species